rnacentral:rRNA from 1 species
UGGUCGGUACAAUACGGGGAUGAAGUCAACACCCGGUUUACCGGUUCCAAAGAUCUUGAACCUUUAAUUUACCUUUGCUGAAACUAAUAGGUUAUCAUAUAUGCUGAUUACUAAUAUAAAUCUAAACUAACGACUAUGGUGAUGUGUGUUAUUUUGAUCUGAGAUCAACCGGAACCCUAUAGAGUUUUAUUUAUUUAUGAAUUAUAAUUAUUUUUAAAUUUACAAUUUUUAAUUUGUUGGGAAAUUUUAUUGGGGUGAUAAAAAAAUAUAUUUAACUUUUUUUAUAUAAUAUAUAUAUAUAUAUAUAUAUACAUAUAUAAGUGGGUAAUUGAUCCACUUUUAUUGAUUAUAAAAAAAAGUUACCUCAUGGAUAACACCGCAUUUUAUUUUUUUAUAUCAUAUAUAAAAAUAUAUUUGCGACCUCUCUGUGGGAUAUAGAUAAAAAUUAAAUGCGAAAGUUUAAAUAUUUGAUCUGUGCUAUCAUAAAAAUCUCACACGAGCUGAGAUCACCCCGGGAGUGGUUCAUCAUGCCUGGAACUUUCAAUACCCC